UUUUAUUAGAAGUUAUUAAUAAUAAAAUCUGCUCAAUGAAAUUAAAUAGCCGCAACUGUGCUAAGGUAGCAUAAUAAUUUGUCUUUUAAUUUAAGACUAGAACAAAAGAUUAUUCAUUUAAAUAAAUUUUUAUUAUUUAUUAAUUAAAAUUAUUUUUAAUGUAAAAAAACAUUAAUAACUAAAAUAGACGAUAAGACCCUAUUGAACUUUACUUUAGUUAAACUGGGGAAGUUAAUUAAUUAUUAUUUUAAAAUAAAUUAGAAAUAAAAAGACCUUAUAUAAUUAAUUAUAUGAACAAGUUACCAUAGGGAUAACAGUAUAAUAUUAUCUUUAAGAUCUUAUUUAAAAUAAUGAUUGUAACCUCGAUGUUGACUAAUUUUUCUUAAUUACGCAAUAGUUUUUAAAGAAAGUCUGUUCGACUUUUAAUUAAUUACA
rnacentral:rRNA from 1 species